GACGAACGCUGGCGGCGUGCCUAAUACAUGCAAGUCGAACGAACGGACCAGGAGCUUGCUUGUCUGGUGUUAGCGGCGGAGGGGUGAGUCACACGUGUAUACCCUACCUAUCAGACUGGGAUGACUACGGGAAACCGGCUCUUAUACCGGAUGAUAUUUUGCCCCGCGUUGUGCACACGUUAGAUACGGUCUUUCGGUCAGUAAUAGAUGGCUCCGCGCUGCAUUAGCUGGUUGGUAAGGUAACGGCUUACCAAGGCAACGAUGCAUAGCCGACCUGAGAGGGUGAUCGGCCACCCUGGAACUGAGACAGGGUCCAGACUCCUGCGGGAGGCAGCAGUAGGGAAUCUUACGCAAUGGGGGAGAGCCUGACAGAGCAACGCCGCGUGAGUGAUGAAGGUGCUCGGAUCGGAAAGCGCUGUUAGUAGUGGAGAACAUAUGUGUAAGUAACCGUGCAGAUCUUGACGGUACCGGGUGAGAAAGCCCCGGCUAACUACGUG
rnacentral:rRNA from 1 species